UACAGAGGGGGCAAGCGUUGUUCGGAAUUACUGGGCGUAAAGGGCUCGUAGGCGGCCAACUAAGUCGGACGUGAAAUCCCUCGGCUUAACCGGGGAACUGCGUCCGAUACUGGAUGGCUUGAGUUCGGGAGAGGGAUGCGGAAUUCCAGGUGUAGCGGUGAAAUGCGUAGAUAUCUGGAGGAACACCGGUGGCGAAGGCGGCAUCCUGGACCGACACUGACGCUGAGGAGCGAAAGCCAGGGGAGCAAACGGG
rnacentral:rRNA from 1 species